UACGUAGGGGGCAAGCGUUGUCCGGAAUCAUUGGGCGUAAAGCGCGUGUAGGCGGCCAGACAGGUCCGUUGUGAAAACUCGAGGCUCAACCUCGAGACGUCGAUGGAAACCGUCUGGCUAGAGUCCGGAAGAGGAGAGUGGAAUUCCUGGUGUAGCGGUGAAAUGCGCAGAUAUCAGGAUGAACACCCGUGGCGAAGGCGGCUCUCUGGGACGGUACUGACGCUGAGACGCGAAAGCGUGGGGAGCGAACAGG
rnacentral:rRNA from 1 species